UGGGCAACCUGCCCCUCUCUCUGGGAUAACCCCGGGGAAACCGGAGCUAAUACCGGAUACUCCGGCUGGAUCGCAUGGUCCGGCCGGGAAAGGUCCGCCGGAGAGGGAUGGGCCCGCGGCCUAUCAGCUUGUUGGUGGGGUAACGGCCUACCAAGGCGACGACGGGUAGCUGGUCUGAGAGGACGACCAGCCACACUGGGACUGAGAUACGGUCCAGACUCCUACGGGAGGCA
rnacentral:rRNA from 1 species